ACAUUUAUCAUCGACCAGAGGCUCAUAAACCUCACCCCACAUAUGUUUCCUUGCCAUAGAUUACAUUCUUGGAUUUCUGGUGGAAACCAUUUCUUGGUUAAAAACUCGUACGUGUUAGCCUUCGAUAUUAUUGAAAAUAGUCGUUCAUGGCUAUUUUCGACAAAAAUGGGGGUUGUGUGGCCAUUGAUCAUCGACCAGACGCUCAUACACCUCACCCCACAUAUGUUUCCUUGCCAUAGAUCACAUUCUUGGAUUUAUGGUGGAGACCAUUUCUUGGUCAAAAAUCCGUAGGUGUUAGCCUUCGGUAUUAUUGAAAAUGGUCGUUCAUGGCUAUUUUCGACAAAAAUGGGGGUUGUGUGGCCAUUGAUCGUCGACCAGAGCUCAUACACCUCACCCCACAUAUGUUUCCUUGCCAUAGAUACAUUCUUGGAUUUAUGGUGGAGACCAUUUCUUGGUCAAAAAUCCGUAGGUGUUAGCCUUCGGUAUUAUUGAAAAUGGUCGUUCAUGGCUAUUUUCGGCAAAAUGGGGGUUCUGUGGCAUUGAUCAUCGACCAGAGGCUCGUACACCUCACCCCACAUAUGUUUCCUUGCCAUAGAUCACAUUCUUGGAUUUCUGGUGGAGACCAUUUCUUGGGCAAAAAUCCGAAUGUGUUAGCCUUUGGUAUUUUUAAAAUGGUCUUCAUGGCUAUUUUCGACAAAAAUGGGGGUUGUGUGGCCAUUGAUCUUCGACCAGAGGCUCAUACACCUCACUACACAUAUGUUUCCUUGCCAUAGAUCACAUUCUUGGAUUUAUGGUGGAGACCAUUUCUUGGUCAAAAAUCCGUAGGUGUUAGCCUUCAGUGUCAUUGAAAAUGGUCGUUCAUGGCUAUUUUCGACAAAAAUUGGGUUGUGUGGCCAUUGAUCGUCGACCAGAGGCUCAUACACCUCACCCCACAUAUGUUUCCUUGCCAUAGAUCACAUUCUUGGAUUUCUGGUGGAGACCAUUUCUUGGUCAAAAAUCCGUAGGUGUUAGCCUUCGGUAUUAUUGAAAAUGGUCGUUCAUGGCUAUUUUCGACAAAAAUGGGGGUUGUGUGGCCAUUGAUCGUCGACCAGAGCUCAUACACCUCACCCCACAUAUGUUUCCUUGCCAUAGAUACAUUCUUGGAUUUUGGUGGAGACCAUUUCUUGGUCAAAAAUCCGUAGGUGUUAGCCUUCGGUAUUAUUGAAAAUGGUCAUUCAUGGCUAUUUUCGGCAAAAUGGGGGUUGUGUGGCCAUUGAUCGUCGACUAGAGGCUCAUACACCUCACCCCACAUAUGUUUCCUUGCCAUAGAUCACAUUCUUGGAUUUCUGGUGGAGACCAUUUCUUGGUCUAAAAUCCGUAGGUGUUAGCCUCUAGUAUUAUUGAAAAUGGUCGCUCAUGGCUAUUUUCAAGGUCGCUCAUGGCUAUUUUCAUAAAAAUGGGGUUGUGUGGCCAUUGAUCAUCGACCAGAGGCUCGUAAACCUCACCCGACCAUUUCUUGGUCAAAAAUCCGUAGGAGUUAGCCUUUGGUAUUAUUGAAAAUGGUCGUUCAUGGCUAUUUUCGACAAAAAUGGGGUUGUGUGGCCAUUGAUCGUCGACCAGAGCUCAUACACCUCACCCCACAUAUGUUUCCUUGUCGUAGAUCACAUUCUUGGAUUUCUGGUGGAGACCAUUUCUUGGUUAAAAAUCCGUAGGUCUUAGCCUCUAGUAUUAUUGAAAAUGGUCGCUCAUGACUAUUUUCAUAAAAAUGGGGGUGUGUGGCCAUUGAUCAUCGACCAGAGGCUCAUACACCUCACCCCACAUAUGUUUCCUUGCCAUAGAUACAUUCUGGAUUUCUGGUGGAACCAUUUCUUGGUUAAAAACUCGUACGUGUUAGCCUUCGGUAUUAUUGAAAAUGGUCAUUCAUGGCUAUUUUCGACAAAAAUGGGGGUUGUGUGGCCAUUGAUCAUCGACCAGAGGCUCGUACACCUCACCCCACAUAUUUUCCUUGCCAUAGAUCACAUUCUUGGAUUUCUGGUGGAGACCAUUUCUUGGUCAAAAAUCCGUAGUGUUAGCCUUUGGUAUUUUGAAAAUGGUCAUUCAUGGCUAUUUUCGACAAAAAUGGGGGUUGUGUGGCCAUUGAUCAUCGACUAGAGGCUCAUACACCUCACCCCACAUAUGUUUCCUUGCCAUAGAUCACAUUCUUGGAUUUCUGGUGGAGACCAUUUCUUGGUCAAAAAUCCGUAGGUGUUAGCCUUCGGUAUUAUUGAAAAUGGUCGUUCAUGGCUAUUUUCGACAAAAAUGGGGGUUGUGUGGCCAUUGAUCAUCGACCAGACGCUCAUACACCUCACCCCACAUAUGUUUCCUUGCCAUAGAUCACAUUCUUGGAUUUCUGGUGGAGACCAUUUCUUGGUCAAAAUCCGUAGGUGUUAGCCUCUAGUAUUAUUGAAAAUGGUGCUCAUGGCUAUUUUCAAGGUCGCUCAUGGCUAUUUUCAUAAAAAAUGGGGGUUGUGUGGCCAUUUAUCAUCGACUAGGCUCAUACACCUCACCCCACAUAUGUUUCCUUGCCAUAGAUUACAUUCUUGGAUUUCUAGUGGAAACCAUUUCUUGGUUAAAAACUCGUACGUGUUAGCCUUCGGUAUUAUUGAAAAUGGUCAUUCAUGGCUAUUUUCGGCAAAAUGGGGGUUGUGUGGCCAUUGAUCGUCGACCAGAGGCUCAUACACCUCACCCCACAUAUGUUUCCUUGUCGUAGAUCACAUUCUUGGAUUUCUGGUGGAGACCAUUUCUUGGUCAAAAAUCCGUAGGUGUUAGCCUUCGAUAUUAUUGAAAAUGGUCAUUCAUGGCUAUUUUCGGCAAAAUGGGGGUUGUGUGGCCAUUGAUCGUCGACCAGAGGCUCAUACACCUCACCCCACAUAUGUUUCCUUGUCGUAGAUCACAUUCUUGGAUUUCUGGUGGAGACCAUUUCUUGGUCAAAAAUCCGUAGGUGUUAGCCUUCGAUAUUAUUGAAAAUGGUCGUUCAUGGCUAUUUUCGACAAAAAUGGGGGUUGUGUGGCCAAUGAUCAUCGACCAGAGGCUCAUACACCUCACCCCACAUAUGUUUCCUUGCCAUAGAUCACAUUCUUGGAUUUCUGGUGGAGACCAUUUCUUGGUCAAAAAUCCGUAGGUGUUAGCCUUCGGU
rnacentral:lncRNA from 1 species